rnacentral:misc_RNA from 1 species
GGAAGUAAAAGUAACAAGGUCUCCGUUGGUGAACCAGCGGAGGGAUCAUUACAGAGUUGCAAAACUCCCAAACCAUUGUGAACGUUACCUAUCCCGUUGCUUCGGCGGGCGGCCCGGGCCCCGCGCCCGGCGCCCCCCGGCCCCCCGUGGGCGCCCGCCGGAGGUAAACCAAACCCUUGAAUUGCAUGGCCUCUCUGAGUCUUCUGUACUGAAUAAGUCAAAACUUUCAACAACGGAUCUCUUGGUUCUG